GGGUUUGGGGCAUAGGGGGCCUAUUUAACAUCCUUGGGCCCCCCACAUAACAUCGUGGUCCCGAUGGCAGCCCUCUAUGUUCUCUUCUUCCCAUCUAGAAGACCGUCUGCAAGAAGAACAUCGCCCAACAGCUGCACAGAGGAAUGAAGCACUAAAAGAACAGAAGAAGGCAGCCAUCGGGGGAGGGUUUGGGGCAUAGGGGGCCUAUUUAACAUCCUUGGGCCCCCCACAUAACAUCGUGGUCCCGAUGGCAGCCCUCUAUGUUCUCUUCUUCAUGGACAACAGCAUCUUCUAACAACUGCAUCUGAGAAAUCUUUAUUGUGUACUGAUUUAUUCAAUAAAUAUUCCAUCUUUAGAUUAUAUCAAUCCAUGCUAGAUUGUCUUAUUGGGGAGAUGGCCAUAAUAACCUCCAAGCCCACUGUUGGCUCAUAUCCAUCAUCCUUUUAAUAUAAAUUCUAAUGAUGAGUAAGAGAAGAAGGCAUAGCCCACAACUGGA